UACGUAGGUGGCAAGCGUUGUCCGGAAUUAUUGGGCGUAAAGCGCGCGCAGGCGGUCCUUUAAGUCUGAUGUGAAAGCCCACGGCUCAACCGUGGAGGGUCAUUGGAAACUGGGGGACUUGAGUACAGAAGAGAAGAGUGGAAUUCCACGUGUAGCGGUGAAAUGCGUAGAGAUGUGGAGGAACACCAGUGGCGAAGGCGGCUAACUGGUCCAGCACUGACGCUGAGGUGCGAAAGCGUGGGGAGCAAACAGG
rnacentral:rRNA from 1 species